CCCCCAGAGCCAGGUAGUUGUGCUUAAUGCUUUGCAGGUCUCCCCAGGCAGUGCCUUUGGUGCUCACGUGGAUGAACAACACAGGAUGACAGUGUGAGGGGCAGACAAGCCUUGGCCAUCUUCACYGAYGGGYCUUCCCACUGUGACGGAAACACCCUCACGAUCAUGAUCCCAGCCAAGUUGCCUUGACCUCCUCUCCCUCUUUUGUCCAUCCAGGCCCUCAAUGCUCCUGGUUGGGUUUUGUCAUUUACUGCAGGUCCGAACAAACCCACACACCCGCCUGCCUCCUCCCCAUGGACUUCAGUGACACCACUAAACUCCCUGGCACCUUCAUGCCCUUGGGGUCCCCCUGGAAACCCUGAAAGCCCAAGGACACCUCGACACCUUCCUGUGUGGUUGGCGUUCAGGGCACCAUCCAAAGAGGACAGUGGAGAUGGCAUUGAUAAGUUAGAACAGGCUUCUCUGAGCAAAAGUCAUUCUGCUCCUCAUAGCACCCCACACAUUGCCUCUCUCCUUUACUUUGCUCACCUCCCUUUCCUGAUCUCUGGUUUGUGCUGAGGAUGUUGUGCAGCACAGGGGCCUCUGCCCAUGGGCUCCACAGGAGUCAGCCCUGCUCUGCUGGGGAGUGCAAAUGGAGAUGUCAGACUGCCUUGUGUAUUUGGUGGGCAUACCUGGGGAUGGGCACCAUGAGCUGAGUGACUCAUGUCCAGUGACUCAGUGGCAACAGUCUCUUUUUAUCUUUGUGAGAGACCAAUACAGCACUCAUGGCAGCUGACUCCGAAAGAGAAGAUCCUUCUGAGGGAUGCAUAUCUCCCAACCUUGCCCUCCUCAACAGAAAAAAAAAAAACAUUGCUGAGAGCAGACGAGUCCAGUUUCAAAACCGCAGAUCUCCAACCAUCUCUCCCUUUCUCAGGGCACCGGAGGGAGGUCUCCACACUCCUCUUCUAGCCAAGGACACAUAGGGCUUUUUCAGAUGCCCAUAUACAGCCUCCCACCACCAUCUCCAUACUCUCAGCAUCUCUGCACCUUCUUCAUUUCUCUCUCAGAUAUCACAGAGGUGCUAUGAGACAGCAGUGCCCUUCUGGAGGGCAGCUCGCAGGCUGCCAGGACACUAUAAGGAAAUGGUCAAAGGACUCUUAGGACUGGAGAUGGGCUCUCCUUAAGGGAGAGUCAGCUCAUUUCCCAACCCCACAGAUUGCAUUUUCUAGAGCUCCACAAGUCAGAAGGGGGCUGGGGCAACCUCAUUCCCAUGCAGAUCCCUCUG
rnacentral:lncRNA from 1 species